rnacentral:rRNA from 1 species
GUCUACGGCCAUGCUACCCUGAACACGUCUGAUCUCAUUUGAUCUUGGAAGCUAAGCAGGGUCGGGCCUGGUUAGUACUUGGAUGGGAGGCCAAAUUCACACCUAAAGUCCCAAGUCA